rnacentral:tRNA from 1 species
GCCUGGCUGGCUCAGUUGGUAGAGCAUGUGAUUCUUGAUCUCAGGGUUGUAAGUUUGAGCCACAUGUUGGGUG